CAGCCGCCGCGGUAAUACCGGCGGCCCGAGUGGCGGUCACUAUUAUUGGGCUUAAAGCGUCCGUAGCCGGGUUGGGAAGUCCUCCGGGAAAUCUGGCCGCUUAACGGUCAGAAUGCCGGAGGAUACUCCCAGCCUAGGGAGCGGGAGAGGCCGAGGGGAUUCCCGGAGGAGGGGGGAAAUCCUAUAAUCCCGGGAGGACCACCGGUGGCGAAGGCGCUCGGCUGGAACGCGUCCGACGGUGAGGGACGAAGGCCAGGGGAGCAAACCGGAUUAGAUACCCGGGUAGUCCUGGCUGUAAACGAUGCGGACUUUGUGUCGGACAAGCUAUGAGCUUGUCCGGUGCCGGAGGGAAACCGUUAAGUCCGCCGCCUGGGGAGUACGGCCGCAAGGCUGAAACUUAAAGGAAUUGGCGGG
rnacentral:rRNA from 1 species